rnacentral:rRNA from 1 species
CCUACGGGGGGCUGCAGUGAGGAAUAUUGGUCAAUGGCCGGAAGGCUGAACCAGCCAAGCCGCGUGAAGGACGAAGGUGCCACGCAUUGUAAACUUCUUUUGUCAAGGGACAAAAUCAGGCUCGAGAGCCUGACCGUGUGUACUUGAUGAACAAGCAUCGGCUAACUCCGUGCCAGCAGCCGCGGUAAUACGGAGGAUGCGAGCGUUAUCCGGAUUUAUGGGGUUUAAGGGGGGCGUAGGCGGACUGUUAAGUCUGCGGUAAAAGCCCGGGGCUAAACCCCGGCGUGCCGUUGAAACUGGCGGUCUUGAGAUGUCGAGGGGUAGGCGGAAUGCGCAGUGUAGCGGUGAAAUGCUUAGAUAUUGCGAAGAACUCCGAUUGCGAAGGCAACAUACCGGGGGGGAUCUGACGCUGAGGCACGAAAGCGUGGGUAUCGAACAGGAUUAGAUACCCUUGUAGUC